GUUGUCAAUUGCAACGGUGUAGAGGUGCAAUGUCAGGGUUCGGCUCCUACAAUUUCAAUCGACAAUACAAAUGGAUGCCAGUUAUACUUGAACAAAGAUUCUUUAGAGGGUUCUCUUACCACAGCUAAGUCGAGUGAAAUCAAUGUUUUGGUUCCUGGUGAUGGGCCUGAUGAUGAUUGGGGUGAGCAUGCUUUGCCACAGCAGUAUGCUCAUGAAUACAAGGACGGACGCUUCGUGACUACUCCUGUCUCCCACUCUGGAGCUUAGCUGGUGAAAAUUUUCUGCAUCCAGUUGUUUUCCUUUUUAUUUUUUUUAAUUAUUUUUUUGUUUACCAAUUUGAUAUAUUGGAGAGUUGAAAGAUGGUCGAUUCUUUUCUUUCUUGAUUGUAAGUUAUGUUCUGUACCCUUGUGUUUGUUCAAAGUAAGGGGGCUCUGUGACUUUUCUGUCGUCACAUUUUUGUUAUUUUGUACCAGAGCUUGACCUUUUAAAACUCUUUUUUUUUGUGAAACAUUAUAUAAUUUCCAUAGCCCAUGUAAUCUUCCGUUCUAUGUUUUAAAAUGGAGAAGUCCUAAUCAGUUGGAAAAACUGUGGUCAACUAUGAAAUUGUUCCGUUAAAG